CUCAACUCCGGAACGGCCUUGGAAACUGGUUAACUUGAGUGCAGUAGAGGUAAGUGGAACUCCAUGUGUAGCGGUGGAAUGCGUAGAUAUAUGGAAGAACACCAGUGGCGAAAGCGGCUUUCUGGGCUGCAACUGACGUUGAGGCUCGAAAGUUUGGGGAGCAAACAGGAUUAGAUACCCCGGUAGUCCUCCCCGUAAACGAUGGACACUAGGUGUUAGGAGGUUUGAACCUUUCAGUGCCGAAGCUAACGCAUUAAGUAUUCCGCCUGGGGAGUACGUCCGCAAGAAUGAAACUCAAAGGAAUGAGC
rnacentral:rRNA from 1 species